rnacentral:rRNA from 1 species
GUGCCAGACUCCUACGGGAGGCAGCAGUGAGGAAUAUUGGUCAAUGGGCGGGAGCCUGAACCAGCCAAGCCGCGUGAAGGAAGAAGGCGCCAGGCGUCGUAAACUUCUUUUGUCGGGGAACAAAGGGCGCCACGCGUGGCGUUGUGAGUGUACCCGAAGAAAAAGCAUCGGCUAACUCCGUGCCAGCAGCCGCGGUAAUACGGAGGAUGCGAGCGUUAUCCGGAUUUAUUGGGUUUAAAGGGUGCGCAGGCGGAGCCACAAGUCAGCGGUAAAAUCGCGGGGCCCAACCCCGCUCCGCCGUUGAAACUGUGUCCCUUGAGUGCGCGAAGGGUAGGCGGAAUGCGUGGUGUAGCGGUGAAAUGCAUAGAUAUCACGCAGAACUCCGAUCGCGAAGGCAGCCUACCGGCGCGCUACUGACGCUCAUGCACGAAAGCGUGGGUAUCGAACAGGAUUAGAUACCCCAGUAUG